rnacentral:rRNA from 1 species
CUACGAAGGGGGCUAGCGUUGUUCGGAAUCACUGGGCGUAAAGCGCACGUAGGUGGAUCAAUCAGUUGAGGGUGAAAUCCCGGGGCUCAACCUCGGAACUGCCUUCAAUACUGUUGGUCUUGAGUCCGAGAGAGGUGAGUGGAAUUCCUAGUGUAGAGGUGAAAUUCGUAGAUAUUAGGAAGAACACCAGUGGCGAAGGCGGCUCACUGGCUCGGUACUGACGCUGAGGUGCGAAAGCGUGGGGAGCAAACAGGAUUAGAUACCCUAGUAGUCC